CGCAGACUCUAGGGGAGGGAGCGAUGUUCUCUCCUACCGUUCCAGCGCCUCCAAAGGUGAACCCUCGGGCAGCCAUUAUGCAUAUGGUGAAAGGUUACAAGGGAAAGAGCCCUUUUCUGAGAACCCCCCCCCAAACUUUCCAGUAAAGCAGCGAGCACAAGGAUCGGAUGGCUAAAGAGCAGAGAAGAAAAGGACUUAGCAUUGGGGAAUUUGGACACAGUGACAGAUUUGCAUAGAGGGAAGACAAUGUAAAGAGACAUAAGGACAAGAUAGUGAUCUACAAACCGAAGAGAGAGACCUGCAACAGACCCUUCCCUCACAGCCCCAGGAAGGAACGAAUCUGAUUGACACCUUGAUCUUCUAGCCUUCAGAAGUGUGAGACAAUAAAUUUCUGUAGUUGACGCCA